UAGGAUUCCUGAGAGAGCACUAAGGGAAAUGCGUAUUUAAGACUCAUUCUUAUUCUAAUUAAGAAUUGUUCUUACCACAUCCCAAAGGUCACUGUCACAGCAAUUGCACUGUUUUGUAUAUUGAUGAAUUAUAUAUGGUAAAUACGAAUACUAGAAAUGACAUUUUUAGAUCCUUCAUACCCACGGCAAAAAGCUGGUUGGGACUCAGAGAUUCACUAACUCUUGACUACAUCGCUUACGACCCCUGAUGAAGUCCUGUGUGGACGAAACGCGUUGGGUAUUCGCGCAAUUGUGAAGUUGAACACACUUCUGAACGCAUUGGUAGAAAUAUAACCAUCACAAAUGUCAACAGAUGAUUAGUCUGUAUUUUCCAUUUAUGGUAUAAAGUCAAUUGCAUGUUUUAUUGAAUUUUUUA